UUAAAAUCAUGGAGGCACCUGCGUGGCUCAGGCGGUUAAGCGUCCUACUUCUGCUCACGUCACGGUGCUGACAGCUCAGAGCCUAGAGCCUGUUUCAGAGUCUGUGUCUCAUUCUCUCUCUGCCCCUCGCUCACUCUCGCUCGCUCACUCUCUCAAAAAAUAAGCAUUACAAAAAAAUUUUUUUUAAAUCAUGGAGACUUCUCUGUCAAGAAGCAGCAGGAAAAAUCAGAGAUUAACAUCUGAAGGGCUAGAUACCACACUGUUGCUGGUUCGAUGAUGAAGAGGACCACAUAAGAAGGAACAAAAGUGGCCUCCAAGAGCAGGAAUAGCCCCUGGUUGACAGCCAGCAAGGAAGUGGGACCUCUUUAGUCCUACAACUACAAGGACCUGAAUUCUGCCAACAACCUGAAUGGUCUUGGAAGAGAAUCUUCCUCAGAGCCUCCAGAUCAUAAAGCGGCCAGCAUGAUGCCUUGAUUUUGACCUGAAGCCUCAAGGACUUCUGACCUACAGAACUGUGGCUAAUAAAUGAAUGCUGUGACAAGCCACUGGAUCUGUGGUCAUUUGUUACGAGGCAUCGACACCCAUACAAGACUCCAACUUGAGCAUAGAUUCAUCUCCACCUAAGAUAUCCUGCCUUUGCCAGCUGUUUCUGUUGCCUACUGAACUGUGUAUACAAAGAUGACAAGCAAAUCACACAUUAAGAAAUCCUGGUCUUGCUGGCAGGUUGAAUGAGAAAGCUUUCAAAAUAAGAAAUUCUUCUGGAACUGUGCUGGAGAGCUGAAGCCUGUUGUAUUUAACAGACGAGCGCAUACCAGCAUGCGCACCCACACGGAAAUGUGCGCCAUGGGAUUAACCGAAGAAACUUUUGCUGCUAUUCUUGCCCUUCAAGAGAAACUGGAGUAAAACACACCUCCUGCCACUUCAUUAUGUCAGAGGUUUGUGUCUCCCAUUAGUAAAUCCACAGAGAGCAGGGACUUCCUGCCAGCCAAAUGGUGUAGAUGGAAUAGAUUCAAAUAUUUGAGACAGAACCUGCUUUGUGUCUGGUCCUUUACAGACGUUUUCUCUAGCCAAGAGAGUCAAUGCGAAUGCCUUGCUCUCUCCAAAGCCUGUUGGUGCCCUUAGGAAUUGCGGCUCUCCAGUUUCUAGGCUUUAUCCACCCUUUCUCCCACCGAAACAAGAGUUCUGAAUUCUUUGCCAGAGACCUUACAAAUCCUGGCACAUAGUAGGUGUUCAGUGCAUAUUUGUUGAAUAAAUAAAAAUACCGAAUUAUCGAAUGUGUGACCUGUUUGUCGGACUUCUGGUAGUGAUCAGAACUAUUUCUGCCCAUGUGGAUCUUGAUAGCUAAGAAUUCUGGGGCUGGAAGCCUUCAGAAGAUGUGUCAUGGCUGUGAGC